rnacentral:rRNA from 1 species
AACGAACGCUAGCGGAAGGCGUAAUACAUGCAAGUCGAACGGAUGUAGCAAUACAUUAGUGGCGCACGGGUGUGUAACGCGUAUGCAACCUACCUUCAUCAGGGGGAUAACUACCCGAAUGGGUGGCUAACACCGCAUAAUACUAUUGAGGGGCAUCACUUGAUAUUUAAAGCUGUGGAGGAUGAAGAUGGGCAUGCGUCUGAUUAGCUAGUUGGUGUGGUAACGGCGCACCAAGGCGACGAUCAGUAGGGGAACUGAGAGGUUGGUCCCCCACACUGGCACUGAGAUACGGGCCAGACUCCUACGGGAGGCAGCAGUAGGGAAUAUUGGUCAAUGGUGGGAACACUGAACCAGCCAUUCCGCGUGCAGGAAGAAGGGUCUCUGACUUGUAAACUGCUUUAGCAAGGGAAGAAAAAGCUCAUGCGUGAGAAAUUGACGGUACCUUGAGAAUAAGCACCGGCUAACUACGUGCCAGCAGCCGCAGUAACAC